ensembl:snoRNA
UUCUGAAGUGUUGAGUUCAGUCCAGGGUGGAUCUCCUGCUCUGUUAAUUAAACUGGAACAUUUCAACUGGUUAGGCAAAAUGCCUAGAUAGAAAGCAUUACUCUUUUUAUUCAUCCCCAGCCUACAAAA